UAUCAUUAGGAAGCUGGAUUGGAGGUCAAAUAGCCAGAAUUGGAACCUGGCACUCUGAUAGGAUAUGCGGGGUUCCUAAUUAGUGUCCUGAGCAACACCCACCCCACUGUGCGUGAUUCGGCUCUCCGUAAGCUGUGAUCUAUCAGCACGUUGACUUUUCUCCCCUGGGAGAAUCUGUUGGAUUCUCUUGCACUAACUUGCAGGAAGAGUGUAAACUUGUACGAAAGGUGGCCCUUUUCUUCAGUAUAGCCUUUCUGCACUUUAGCUAGUGAAAUUUUUUUCCAAGAUGUUGUUGUCAGUUUCCAGUGCUACUGUAGGUUUUCCUUUGUUCUUAAAUUCUGUUAUUUCAGUGGAAAUCAUGGGUAUCUGAUUUGAAAAGCAUGGGUCAGUUCCCUUUUGAAAGUUAUUUGUGUGGCCGUCUUUUUCUUGAUGUCUGUGCAUGUAUGCCAAGUGAUCUUUUUUCUCUCUGCUUUCUGCUUUCAUUUUCACCCCUCUAAGUUGUUUCAUUUUCUUAGAUCACUUAUGUGUCACUGAAAUAUUAGAGGACACUCUUUACCUUGUUUUAUGUUUUUUUUUUCCCCCCACGAUGUUUCCUCUUUGGUUUUCAUUUUUUCUUGUCAUAUAGUUUCUAUAUUUUGUUCAUGUCUGUCUUUAAUAGGAAUUAUUUCAGUGUUAUGACCUUAAAAAAGGUUUCAAACCACCGAUGAGACUUAAUUUAAUUACCAAAUUAAAAAAAGUAUACAGUAUUUGCACUACAGGAAGCACUUAGGAUAUUUAAGUCAAUUCUAUAGAUAAACAUGAUUAUUGUUAAAUUAUUAUUUUAUAUUGCAUAUUCUCCUUUUCAGUAUUUUAAAAUAUUUAUGGGAGAGAGAGAGAACCAUAAACCUUACCUAUAAACUCACUUGCCAAAUGUCCGCAACAACUGGGGCUGGGUUGAUUUGAAAUCAGGAAUUAAAAAAUCAACUCAGGUCUCCCAUGUGGAGGGCAGGAUCUUACUACUGUUUCCCAGAGUCUGCUUAAGUAGAACUGGUGUCAGCUGGAGCCAGGAAUUGAACCCAGGUGCUCCAAGUGGGACAACGAAGUCCUAAUCAGGGUCUUUGCUUAUAUGGAUUUUUAUUUUUGUCACUUAAUUAUGUACAGAUGCUGCAUUCUGUAAUUAGCACAAAUUGAUCUUGACUUCACCAUCCUUAAGGGCAUAUUGGUUUAUGUAGCAUUUUCCUAAAGUCCACCUUGAAUUGGUGUCUUUUUUAAUUUCAUUUUUGGCAGGGGAGGAAACUUUGCUCUAAAAACUUCUGUUAUCUGAGAGAAUUAAAGACUAUCAGAUGACAUGUUAACUUUACCUCGCAGAAAAACAUUUAAUUGAUGCAAGUAUUCCAGAAAAGCACAAUUAGGCUGGGCAAUUUCUGUAGCAUAAUCUGAAUGGAAAUAAUAUAAAUAUGAAUAUAAAAAUGCUAUAUAGCAUAACAAUCAGAACAGUGGAAUUUACUGGCAUUCAGAUGACAGAUUAAUAAUAGUCACAAAGUUAUUUCUGAGAGUUCAAGAACCUCUAAUGCUGUAGAUAAUUCUUGAAGUCAUAAUGUGAGUUUAACUUCAAGACUUGGAACAGUUUCAUCUUUGCAUGAGAGCAUGUGAUUCUGGCAAUUUUGGUUAAAUUAGAACCGUAUUUUGUAACUCUUACUGAAUCAUUGAGCUGAUGCAUGUUAAAAUAGAUUUUUACUGAAGCAAUGGAUUUAAAAACUUUAUGCACAUUUACAUCUUUUUAUUUCCUCUUUCCUCUUCCUUUUUAAAUUUUCAGUAAAGAUAGAAACUAAAUGAGCACUUUGCCAGGGGCAUGUAAAAAUAUUAUUGCUUUUUACUCUUCCAAGAGUUUAUUUGUGUUAUUUUUGAUAUACAUUGUGCUGAUGAACUGAUUAAUUGGAUAUCAAUUAAUUUGCCCAGGAUUUCUCAGCUGGCUAAGUGAUAACCAGACUUCAGAUGCAGUUUUUACUCUUCCUGCAUAUUACAAGGCCUAGAAACAGUAAAGGGCUUAGUCCUAUGACCUCUAGGACCCAAUGCCCAAAGAGGGCGAAGAUGGAAGUGCCGACAUUACAGUUCAAUUAUAUUACAAAAUCUAUUGAGCCUUCAUUUUAUAGAGAUGAAUGAUCGCUGCCUGCUUUCAAGGAGUUUUAAGUGAGGCAGUUUUAGAAACCUAAAGUUCUAAACUGUAAAGGUACGUAUAAUACUGGAGAUGAUAAUUUCUUAUAAGGUAGAAAGUAGCGUAGGGAAAGAAGUGACUCAUUUUCUAGUGGAAGUGUUGGGGCAAAGGAAGUGAGGAAUAGCAGAGAAAGAGAUGAUAUCUAAAUAUGUCUUAUAUAUAAAAGUACCUUGCCCAGAGUUGGUAAUGUCUUCCAGUGGAUUUGGAAGUUAAACAGUAUCUGUUCUGUUUAUAAUAUGAGGGAUAUGGUUGGUGUGGUGUUGGUAGAAGGUGUUUUGCCUUGGGCUGU